CCUACGGGAGGCAGCAGUGAGGAAUAUUGGUCAAUGGGCGGGAGCCUGAACCAGCCAAGCCGCGUGAGGGAAGAAGGUACAGCGUAUCGUAAACCUCUUUUGUCAGGGAACAAAGGCGGGGACUAGUCCCCGGAUGAGGGUACCUGAAGAAAAAGCAUCGACUAACUCCGUGCCAGAAGACGCGGUAAUACGGAGGAUGCGAGCGUUAUCGGGAUUUAUUGGGUUUAACGGGUGCGCAGGGGGCCGGUUAAGUCAGCGGUAAAAGCCCGGGGCUAAACCCCGGCGAGCCGUUGAAACUGGCGGGCUGGAGUUGGGGAGAAGUACGCGGAAUGCGCGGUGUAGCGGUGAAAUGCUUAGAUAUCACGAAGAACCCCGGUGGCGAAGGCAGCUUACUAACCUGUGACUGACAUUGAGGCGCGAAAGUGUGGGUAGCAAACAGGAUUAGAUACCCUUGUAGUC
rnacentral:rRNA from 1 species